GACAAUAGACAGUAUGUCCUUUUCUAAGCAUUACCAAUCUACACCAGAAACAACCAAUGCCGCUAGACUGGCGAGGAUGAUACUUGGUCCGUGCACAGAUGUCCUGCGAGAUAUCCUAAAAAAAGAAGUGUCACCAACGGAUCUGUCUAAAGAAGUAAAGAAAAAUAUUGAUAUGUUAAAAAAAUCAAGGUUUGCGAAAUCCACUCAAUCCAACGCAAUCAGAGAUAAUUUUCCCAAAACCCACAAAGCAGUACAGUGGUGAUUAUUCAGACUUAGAUAUAUCUUUAUUGUAUUUACUUCUACGUAAUGUAAGUAAAAUAGCACCACAUUCCAAAGGUUGGGGAGAAAUUCCAGAUCCUGGAGACAGAGGCGUGGCUGCUAACAUUGAAAGAAUUCGCUUCCUUAGAAACAAGUAUUACGGACAUUCACCUAAUGUGUCCCUAUCCGACUCAGAAUUUAGACAGGAAUGGCGGAACAUCCGGGACAUCGUAGUAGAGCUAGAGCGACAUUAUGGUUCAUCAACAAUUUACCAAGAUGCAGUCAGCAUUUUAAAAACUUGCUGGAUGGACCCAGCAGGGGAGAAGAAAUAUCUAGAUUUACUUGGAGAUAUAAAAGAUCUUCAAAAAACUGUGGAUGUUCUAUCCAAUGCAGCGCUUCAUUGUGAACUAAGAGUUGAGAGGAAGAUCGGUAUGAAGAUUAUUUAAUACGAC